rnacentral:lncRNA from 1 species
AGUUCCUUCCAGGAAGAAGACGUCAUCUAUAUGAAGCUCCCGGAGACUUUGCAUCUGUCCUAAGUGAAAAGCAUAGAAGCGGGAAUCCCGCUUGUUUUUCUGGGCUGAAGUAUACACUUCUGGGCUCAGGCUACUGAAGUGAAAUGUGCGAAGGUUCAUCAUCUUCUUGAGCAGAGGAACAAAUGCUUUCAUGCUUUCCCGACCCCAGUCACUGAACACGUCCAGCUCCUGGAUAGAGUCCAGUUGCACAGCACGAAGAAGCUUCAGGAUUGUAAAGACAGCUUUGGAAUUGAUCAUCACCUUCUCACAGCACAGGUGUACUGAAGCUUUUCUCUUCCUGGCCCAGUUCAAGAGACAGAGUUGUAAUUCAUCGCGGGUGACACAAGACUUACUCCAGGCUUCAAAACAAAGGUGCAUGAGGAUUGUCAAGAAUAAUAGCAGUGGAACUAUCUUAUGGCCCAAGCACCUUACCAUCUUCAUCCCACCCAUGAGGUCACCCAGGAGAUAUUUGGGAGACUCCACAAAAGUUCAAACCUAGAGACCCUGGCAUUCUCAUUCAGAGCUCUGUCAUGGAGCAACAUCCUGAGGGCUGCUGUUAAAACACUACAAGAGAAGCCUUGAGUGGUGGGGAAGCCUCUGAAACCAGCACUGGGGAAGCUGAGACACCAGAAGUUCUAGGACAGGCCUACAUAGUGAAUUCAAGGCCAGCCUGAACUGCAUAGUGACAAUCUGUGUCAGUAAGUAAAUAAGUAAAUAAAAUAAAAUCAGGCCAGGUUUAGAAACCCACUCCUGUAAUCUCAGCAUUUUCACAAACUAAGGCAGGACUUCCACCUUGCAGCCCAUCCUGGUUGACUUAGUGAGACCCUAGCUCAAAAUACAAAAUAAAAUAAAAAUAAUAGAAGAUGUAGCACAGCAUGAAGACACUCAGCACAAAAAUGAGAUAAAAAAUUUCUGCCAUUCAGUCUGGUUUAAUCCAGAGUGGCCUUGACCCUCCCAUUCCUGUUUCUGCAUCACAAGAA